CUCCUUCAUACCAGAAACUCUCUGAAAUCUUCCACAAUUUUCUUUCUAUCCUUGAGGUAUCAUUUUACAUGAGAGUUCUCAGUGGGUCUUUUCAAACUGGAGACUCAUGAUCAUGACAAUCUGGUGGAGUCCAGGGCAGGUUGUUCUACCUGGACAUCAGGCUGCAAUCACACAGCCAAGAGCAGCAGGACAAUAGAUGUUUGGGCUGGAGGCGUCACUUGCCCUCCAUGUCAUGCAGUUCUGGGGGAGCAGCCUGGACAAGUUGGGUGCCACCUUCUUAACCCUCUUUGGACUCCAGCGAAAGCUGCAUGUCACCCCCAGCUGGACUACAGAGAGGUAGGCUGGAGCACAGGCAGCCCUGGGGUUUGCUGGGCCCUGGGCAUCUAGUCUGAUGCUCUCUCAGGAAUGAUGCUUUGAGGGUACAUGGGGGCCCCUUCUGCUAUGGGCUCUGAGUGC
rnacentral:lncRNA from 1 species